UGAAUUUGGGUUUGAUAAUUUUUUUAUCAAUUAAAAGGGAAGUUGGGUGAAAAUCCCACGCGGUCACGCCGCUGUAAGAGAGGAGUUUUCUUCUAUUGAGCCACUAUUUAUAUGGGAAGGCAGAAGAAAAUUAUGAUACUUGAGCCAGAAUAUCUGCCUAUUUU
rnacentral:ncRNA from 1 species